CCCAUAACAAAUAAUGGCUAAAAUACAAAAAACUAAAAUAUCUACUACAUAAUUAUUCAUUAUCUUUACAAUUAACCAUCUAAAGCUACCACAGUUCUUCAAUCAAAGUAUAUAUCUACAAAUAUAGAGAGUACACUUCAUAAUUUCGUCCCUUGUCUUCUGUAAAUGUAGCACAGAAAUUUGAUACCCAAUAUUGUAAAGCAAGUCGUAGAAGCAGUCUUCCUGCACAUAUUUAAAAAUAAUAACAAAUCAAAAAAAUGAAGCAAAUAGAUCACCAGAGGCACUUAGUGCCAAAAUCAAUACACAAAGACAAUAGAGUUGCUACGUGGUACUAAAGACAAAUAGACAAUCACAAUAUCAUUUGCUACAAAUCCAAAUAGAAAAAAAACCUUCAGUGUGACUAUAUGAUUGCUUUGUUACAAGAAAAAAUUGGAAUAUUAAUCGGCCAUUUCAUGAAUUAAUUUCAGUAAGCAUAGUGGUAAACAUAUUUUCUGUUACAAGACUUGUAGAUUAUUAUUAUAUGUUGACCUCAAGUCAGAAUUCAGUCACAUUCAACAACCACAAGCAUCGCACAAUCUUAAAUACCAUUACACAAUCUUAAAUAACAAUGUUUAGAUUUCUAUAUAGAAAGGACAAUAAUUAUAGAAAAGUUGAGGCUAUUAGUCAAUGUGAAAAAACUUUUCUUUAGACGACAAAUUUCUAUACAGUAUAUGCCCCAAAGAUGCUAGCUAUAAUCACAGACAUCAUAUAUUUAUUUACCAAGAAUUCAACAUGUUGCAGCAGACAUUGGAAAGACACAUUUAUUAAUAACUUGGGAAUUUUUAAGUGGUAAGGGCAGAACAUACUCAGGUCAGCGAGAUAAGUUCAUCCCCUUCAUAAUUGGGUCCUACAAGAAUAGUCCCUGAUAAAGAAUAGUCCCUGAGGGUUGGUAUGGUCACAUCUUAAAUGUCAACCAUUUCUCAUUUUGAUCAUGAAACCAUCAGAACUGCUCUUCACCUCAACUAUAUUGAAAAACAGAUGAAACACAUAAAUAGAAUAUAUGUUAUUUUGCAUAUACUUCAUAUGUUAAAUCACACAGAAAAAUUAAAAACUACCAAAAUUAUAGUAUAUUACUUGCAACAUCCAGUUGUGAUAUUUUAAGUAAAAUAUUAGCAAAUAUAUGAAAAACUUUAACUAUUGUAAAAUGAAAAUGAAACUGACUUUACAAAAAUGAGACAUCUAUUUCGAUGCCAAAAAUUAGUCUGAAAAUUUGUUUCUAUUAACCAAUCUUAUAGUAUUUUAACAACUAGCUUGCAUAAAGAGGAAAUCAAAAGAAUAAAUUUUCAUGUUUUAAAUCCAUCUUUUUCCCACAAAAGUAAAUCAACAAUAAAACUAUGCUCUCAAACUGCUGCAAAUAUUUUAAUUAACCUCAUCAUCAUUCGUGCUCUCUGCAAUUCUCUGAACUACAGGGAGAGAAUGUUUGCACUUCUCCAACAUGCUCACUAUAAAAUCUUCUUGCAAUUUACACAUGAAUUCGUAUUGAUUGCUAUUAUAUUAUUAAUAAGUACUCCUUACUUUCCACGAAGCUAGUAAAACACAAUAUACCAUUCACUGAAGCAUAAUGUAUUAAUAGGAUGCAUUGAUUAAUGGAGGGAAGGGAGGACCACAGGAAGAGUAGAGGACUGAAGUCUGAAACUUGUCUACCUUUCCUGAAGACCACCAAUUUCUUGUUCAAUUUGAGUGACUAAACAAUAAAUAUGGUUGACACAUCAAUGCAUAAUCACUCUCUAACCUGGUUAUAGCACAAGUUAGAACAAGUACUCCACUUUUCAUUGCCAAAAAUAUUUCCCAUCAUUGCAUUCAAUUUAAUAAGAGGAUGGGUUAUCUUUAAAAAGCAUGCAAAAAUACUUAAAAAAUGAUAUCUUGUGAAAAGCAUUUAUGAGCUGAAGAUUAAGACUACAUACCAUACAUGCGAAUCAUAGCCGUUGUUGUGAUUAUCACCCAUUACAAAAAUUGAGUUUUCUAGUACACGUUGCACUAUAGUAUAAAAGUAUCAGUUUCAUAAUCAAUAUUGGUUGGCCAGUAACAAUUCAUUCCUAUAAAAAUCAUCAACAUCAUGCUUCCACCGUUGCUUGCCCUUUUCCAACAUACAUAGGCUUAAAUCCCAAGUCACUUAUAAUUUAAAAAGUUUCACUACAAAAAAGUGGUGAUUUUGCAAUAAACAGUUUUCGUUGCUAAAAGUGCGAAAUUUCGUUGUCAUAGGUCAUUUGCAAUAAUUUUUCGAUCGUUGGACCAUUAGCAAAUAUUAAUAUAAUUAUAAAUUGAAUUUUACUAUAAUUUAGCAUUCACUUCAAGUAGGUGAACCUCUCAAGCGAGAGAACCUAAACCCCUACAGCCAAAACGGCAGAGAUAGCAUAAACUUCAACAUGUGCAUUUUGAACUAUGUUUGCUUUAUGUGGUUGUGCUUUGUUUUGUAUAUUUUCAUAUGUUUCAAUUCUUUUAUUUAAUUUUAUUUAUUGAGUUCAUUUCUUUUUAUUGGUGUUAUGUUUUUACUUUUCUCCUUCCCCAUUUUACUUCUACAAUUACAUAGGGAUUCAUUUUGAUUCUAUCCCAACUGCUUUGAAACAAAAGGCGUUGAGUUGAGGCAGUACACGGCAAACAAAGAAGCCACACAAAAUAAAAUUAGAAAAUAUAAAAAAAUUAAGUAAAGCAGUAGUUAGGGAAGCAAAUAUACCCCGAUAGGAGAUUUGGUAGCCUGACUUUCAUACGAUUACAAAUCUGCUGAACAAGGGUCUCCACCAAAGCUAAUAAAUCACCAAGGUUUCAACCAAUUUUAAUGGAGGAGCUAAAUUGUAAUUAAAAAUUUUAAAAAUCAAAACGAGGACAAGGAGUUGUACUAAAUCAAAAAUAGGUAACAUUGAACAACAGCAACAAACUAUAUCUAUAUUCCAUUGCAGAAUAUAACAGGUAAGAAUAUAUCUUUAAUUAAAAUUAAGAUAACAUUGUUAUAAUUUUAACAUAAUUAUUUAAAAUUAGUUUUGUUAUUUAUUAAUCAGAAGGGCAACAAAUAGGGAAGGGGGUUAACCAAUAAUUAAUAUGAAUAUAUUACAUGAGAGCACGCAAGCACUGGAAAAGAAAGCAACCUUUGUUUGAUGUACACAUCGAUCACAAGAAUUGGAAGAAGCAGCAACAACAGUUGCAGAGGAGAUCAUAAGCAAGAAGCGAGACAAAAUAAAGAAUGUCAUUUUGUAUAUAAUUCGAUUAGGAUCGAGAGAGAUCAAUGUUUGAUAUAUAUAUAUAUAUAUAUAUAUAUAUAUAUAUAAUUACAGGGCUGGAAAGAGAGAGAGUAUAGGCAAUGCGAUGGAAGAGAGGAGGGUGAAGUAGUACAUGUUAUGUAUAGCUAGCUAGCUAGCAAAUGGCAUUUGUAAAAGUAAAUGACAAUUAAGGAAAGAGAUAUGCAUUUACGUGUAAACGCAGCAGGGCAAAAGCAUAACAUAGCAUAACAUAACAAAGCAUAUCAUCAUACAGGAGGAAAGUUGUAGUUGUCCCUCACUCACUCACUAACUACUUUGCCUUGACGCUAACAGUUGUUCCAAUACAAUACAUCCAUUUAGUAAAAACAUAUCAUAAUUCAUCAUUCACUUGGAAGGCAGUAAACUAAUGUGACAUUUGCCAACAACUAGACGUAGCUCAUGCAUUCUUUCAAAUAAAUGUGGUCGGGAAGCAGAUUAGCAAUGACAUUUUCAAGAAUAUUGUGACUUUGUAUAUAUACUUUUUCCUUUUGAAGAGCUCCAAGAUGUGUCUAGUAUUCCGUAAGCUUUCUAAGCGAUAAAUAAUGUUCCUCCAGAUCAAUUGAACUCCUAACACUGACAAGAUGACUAUAUCCAGAAAUCUCCACACUGAUCUUAUCAAUUUGAGCCUUCAUGUCUGCAAAUUGGUUUAUUCUCUCCUCUUUCUUUAGUUUCAAAUCUCCCACCACAUGUGUGACUAGAGUGAGUUGCCCUUUCAAUGUUUUUGCUUUCUUCUCUUAUCGGAUUUAUGAAUUUUAUAAUACAUGCUUUUAAAAAAGAAAUAUUAAAUAAAAUAAAGAAUUUUGACCAAAACUUUGAUUGAGAUCUUGAAUGUUAAUGAAAUUGUUGAAAUCUCGCUCUACCUCCUAUUUUAGAAUUAUUUUGUUACAGAGGAAAAUAGAAAAUAAGAAAGUGAUGCCCGCCUGAUUACAAACUGAUAACAUUUUAAGCAAUGAUAAAAAGAAGAUACUUUCCAAGCUUCUACAUAUCUGCUUUUCAUUAAGAUAUUCUCAAGUAGAUUAUAAAGUGGCAGUAAGCUUCAUGGAUAUUACUUAUAAAUGCAGGUUAUCUUGUAGAUUAUAAAAUGGCAAUAAGCUUCAUGGGUAUUCAUCAUCAAAGGCCUCUACUCAGUGUAUGUUGACCCGACUCUUAAAAGACUGUUUCUUAAAUGCUCUUCCAGUGUUGAUUCUAAUAAAUGCUCAAACAUGAUCAAUUUAUCUUCCCACUUAUGCCCCCUCCCAGCAACAUGAUAAAACUCAAUUACAUAAAUCCUGAAUAACAAAAUAAUUGAUAAAAAAACAACCAAUAUGCAGCCCAUAGAAAGUCUAUAAUUAACACUAAGGUAUAAGCAUUUCCCAUUUAUCAUGUUAAACUAGGAUUGGUUUAGCAAAAAAAAAAAGAGUAACAAUAACUUACGACUAAAGUAUAAAACCCUCUUGAGUUUCGUAUCUCUGAGAAAUUACAAUCAAUUUUAAAGAGUGAUUCUUAGUAUGUGUCAUCCAAACAGAAAAUACUCUUAGAGCGCGUUUGUUUCAAGGAAAAUGUUUUCUGCAUUUCAGACAAUUGGAAUAACUGUAAAAAUUGGUAAUUGUUUUGCAGGUCAAUGCACAAGUUAGUUUUCCGAAAAAAUGAUGUGUACUCUUCAACUACACAAGUCAUUUUCCCUGAAAAUCAUUUCUUAGAAACAAGCAGACCUUCAAAAUUUGGAGAAAGUUGAGAAUACAUAAUAGUCCUAAAAUAAGAGUCCAUUAUCAAAAUCAAUGUAAAGAAUUUAUGAAAAAAAACUCACUUUUUAAGGGUGGCAGUAUGAUUCACAUAUUCAAUUACAUUCACAAUUCACAAAUGCAGAUUACCAAAUAAUAAAUAAAAAUCAAAUGCUUGAUAUAAUGAUACAUUAAAACAGGGAACAAACUGAAAAUCAUUCAAUAACUCCAAAAAUUCAGUAAAAAUUUAUUUUUUAAAAUAAUAAUAAUUUGAGAAAUCAGUUUUGUACCAAAAUUCUUAAUAAUAACAAGUUCGACGAUUUUGAAAAGGGAUGAGCUAGGGAGUCGUUGAACCAAUGACACGUCGCCUAAUUAAAACUUAUCAUAACAAGCUUAUCAGAAUAAUUAAAACUAGAAGCUAUCUACUAAUUGAGAAGGAAUAAAAUCAAAAUAAAAUGAUGGGAAAAUGAAAAUUUACAUGGUUCUGACAAUAAAACAAUGUAAAAUGCCAACCUGUAUUAAAUUAGCAAUAAAAGCAAGGGGGUAAGAGAGAUCUAGUUUGAGUAGACAUUUUAUCAAACACGUUGUGAGCUUCCCUAAUUGCUACCAAACAAGAUAUAUAAUAAAUUACACACAGGUAGGUACUAAUAAUAUUAGGUUUCUUAACAGUAAAUACACAAAAUUAAAAACUAACCUUUACUUUAGGGACACCAAUGGAGGAGGAGGAGGCAACACACUGCCGCCAACACAAACCACUUAUCGACAAGUUAAAAUUUAGGGCUUGUUAGAGGGAGGAGAGAAAUAGAGGAAAUCAAAACAAAAUUAGGGGUAGAUGAGAUAAAUACAUUUUGUUUUUAUAUUUGAUUAAUGUAAAUAUAAAUUGAAAACCUAAAGACUGAAAUUACCUGCUCAAAUAGUUUCAAUAUGCAGAAUUGCUGUCAAGGGUUCCAAUGUGAGAGGGACGGAUGGAUGGAGUGAGAUGAGAGAGAUAUGUAUGGAGUUUGCAGUGGGAGAAAUGUGAGGACAUGCAGACAACAGAGCGAUGAGUUGUGGCUUUCUAUAGGGAGGAGGGGUUUACCGAAGAGGGAGAUGUUUGAUUUGUUAAUUCUUUUCCUUUUGUUGCUUACUGAUAUGUCGAAGACGACGAUUGAAGGAGAUAGGGCGAUUGAGGGAGAUAGGGCUCGACUGAAUGUAUUUUCUAAAUUGAGAGAGUUAAAAUUGAAGGAGAGAAUGGGCGUAAAAAUAAUGGGGGGACAUUUUC
rnacentral:lncRNA from 1 species